GACGAACGCUGGCGGCGUGCCUAAUACAUGCAAGUAGAACGCUGAAGGAGGAGCUUGCUUCUCUGGAUGAGUUGCGAACGGGUGAGUAACGCGUAGGUAACCUGCCUGGUAGCGGGGGAUAACUAUUGGAAACGAUAGCUAAUACCGCAUAAUAGUAGAUGUUGCAUGACAUUUGCUUAAAAGGUGCAAUUGCAUCACUACCAGAUGGACCUGCGUUGUAUUAGCUAGUUGGUGGGGUAACGGCUCACCAAGGCGACGAUACAUAGCCGACCUGAGAGGGUGCUCGGCCACACUGGGACUGAGACACGGCCCAGACUCCUACGGGAGGCAGCAGUAGGGAAUCUUCGGCAAUGGACGGAAGUCUGACCGAGCAACGCCGCGUGAGUGAAGAAGGUUUUCGGAUCGUAAAGCUCUGUUGUAAGAGAAGAACGAGUGUGAGAGUGGAAAGUUCACACUGUGACGGUAUCUUACCAGAAAGGGACGGCUAACUACGUG
rnacentral:rRNA from 1 species